AAUAGAAUUGUUGGGUCAUAUGGUAAGUGUUAGGAUAUACAUUUUGAGAAACUGCCAAAAUGUUUUCCAAAGUAGCUGUACCAUUUUACAUUCUUAUCAGCAAU
rnacentral:pre_miRNA from 1 species